rnacentral:misc_RNA from 1 species
AACCUUAUGGACCUGCGGGCGUAUACCUGCGGAGGGAUCAUUAAACGUUUAGGCCGUAACAAGCCUCAAACCUUAUUUACACGUACCUCCACAUUCUCCUUCGGCGGGGUAACGCCCGCCGUCGGAACCACCAAAACCACCUUGCAUCCAGCGUAUAAACCAGUUCAGACAAAAAUACAAUCGUUACAACUUUUAACAAUGGAUCU